UGGACAAUGGGCGAAAGCCUGAUCCAGCCAUGCCGCGUGUGUGAAGAAGGUCUUCGGAUUGUAAAGCACUUUAAGUUGGGAGGAAGGGCAGUAACCUAAUACGUUAUUGUUUUGACGUUACCGACAGAAUAAGCACCGGCUAACUUCGUGCCAGCAGCCGCGGUAAU
rnacentral:rRNA from 1 species